UAAGAGCCGGGUUAAACAUGAAAGGCGAUACGGUUUUAAUUUUCGUCAUAUUCGUAUUAAUAUCGGUAAAUAUGUGCAGUAGUCAGAAAAUGAAGAAAAAAGAACACGACAAGAAAAAGCUCAACCGUUACCAAGCCAACGGUAACGACGGAAGGAAAGUUAAAGUGACAAACUGGGGAAACUAUGGGUGGAAUAGCGGGCAAGAAGUAGACGCGAGAAUCCUCAAGGAAGUACUUGAAGGUCUUGCAAUUUUCGAAAAAGGAGAAGGCUGCCCCCUAGGAAAAGGAAAAUGUGAAUCAGUAUCAGCCUAUUAUGUCUUAACAAAAUUAAUAAGCAACCUGUUAAACAAAAAAGAUAAUAAUGACAAUGAAAACGGAAAUGAUAACAUGAAUGACAACGAGCACCAUAAUAACAUAAAUAACAAUAAUGAUCACUCAAUGACAUUAUCAGACAAGACCAACUCAGAACCGGAAGACAAACACAAGAAAACUUUGAAAAAUGUACAUGAACAUUCGAAAUUGACUAAAUUAUUAUUUGUCUCGAAUGACUUUGAAAAGAAGAGAUUAUCGAAGAAAUUGUUUUAUUUUUAAAGUCUGUAGAUCAAAAGAAGACAAUAAUUCGUCAAAAACACGUCAAGUAAAAGAUUUUUGUAAACUUCAUUACUUAAUUUCAUUAUACUUUUACUUACUGAAUAUGGAUAGUUCAAGAACUAUGAUAAAGUAGUGUCACGGUAGUGUAAGUAUAAAAUCAUUAAACAAACACGAAAGCUACGAUUCGAGGUUUGUGAAACUGUUAAACAGUACGUAACUCUAAAAUUUUACUUUUAUUUCACACAUAAAUGCAUAACGAAUAUUUUUUAAUUAGAACUACCAAGUGUUAAGCAAUUUUUAACAAUCCGCUAUGUAGCACAAUUUGGGACUAUUUGACUACAAAUGUUUCUAACAAGCAGACGGAGAACUGCUCAUAGUUGUUUUCAAAAAAAUGAUGGCAAAAACGGCUCUUCUAAUUAUAACGUUAUCGGUGACACUCGGUUCCUCACAAGUGAUUUACGGAAAACUGAAAAUUGAAACGCAAGAGGGCAAAAAUAAAAGAAAUCAAGAUAUUGAAGUGAAACAAUUCUGGAUACUA
rnacentral:misc_RNA from 1 species